rnacentral:rRNA from 1 species
AUGGAUCCUAUGAAUAACGUUCAAAUGCAUACGAGCCAGGGAGGAUUUAGUACGCCCAAAAAGAACACAGACAUACCUCUCUUCUCUUCGUUUUUUAUACCUGAAUGUGAUGAGCAUCUGAAGCCUAAAGUGGGUAUGACAUUUGAAGGACUCGAGGCCGUGGAGAAGUUCUACAAGGAAUAUGCGCAUCAAUCAGGUUUUGGUGUUCGCAUUGGACAACAAAAAAAGAAUGAGAAUAAGGUGGUCCGUACUAAGCGUUUCAUGUGUAAUAGGGAAGGAUUCCAGGCAAAAGAUAGUAAAGAGACUAAUGACCCCUUGAAGAAAAGGCGUAAGCAGACAGAUACACGAUGCGGUUGUGAUGCCCAUAUCUUUGUUAGACUUUGUGGGGAGAACACCUACAAGAUAGACUCACUGAUUGAGCACCAUGUUCAUGGUCUUGUAUCGCCUAAUAAGUGUCAUUUGAUCAGAUCAAAUCGUAGAGUUAGUGAGAGGGCAAAAAAUACUUUAUACACAUGUCAUAAGGCAAGUAUUGGAACGUCGCAGGCAUACAGGCUCCUGCAAGUUAGUGAGGGUGGAAUUCUG